AUAUUGAAAAGGGAGAGUAGAGACUUAUUUUGAAUGAGAGUUAUUGGGACGACCAAUUUGGUGUAAAAUAAACCUAAUCAAUAUCGAAGCAUGCUUUGCCAUCUGAUCCCUUGACGGUUGACGCAACCAAAUGUCACCUACGUACAUUCUCCACGCACUCGCCCUGAUAAAUGGUCCAUUCUAAAGCCACCUACGUACACUUCAUCCAUCCACAACAACACAAUCUCCUCUUGUGUUCAUGCACACAAUGUGUUCGACUAAUUGCUCCACAGAGGAGUCGUUUCUUACAGCACUCUAAGGAGGAUUUUUAUUAUAAUGGAUAGCUAGGUACAUGCUUUGACGACUAAAUGUGGGUUUUUG
rnacentral:lncRNA from 1 species